AAAGGGUUCUGCCCCAGUUACAGCUUUAUAGCAUUUUUCUGAUAGUUUAGGAAGCAGGAUUGUGCAGUACCAUUCAGUACCAAUUUUUUGGUCAUCUGGUUGUUGUGUACCUGCAUCUGAUGUUGUGUACCUGCUGUUGUGUUAUUCUGCUGAUUUGCUGUGACUCAACAGAGAUAUCCUGUUGUGCAUUAGUUAUUUGUUGUGAUAUUUAUCUCUCAGGAACCACUAUCCUGUGCAAGUUAGCAUAGGCGUUUGAAAAGUUAGAAUGCAAGCUGAUUCAGUAUUUGAUUGUGAUCAGGUUAACACCCUAAUAAGUGCUUUUUAUCAUUCUCAACAUUGAAAUCUUUGCCUCCAGCUGAUAUAUCUGUAUUCACAGGUGUUGGGCCUAGAGGUGGCCAGCCCGUGUCACAGGGAGAGAGGGGCGAUGGAUACGGCCUUGGUGCUGCUGGCUUUCUUGGAGCUGGUUUUACUAAUGGAUAUGGAGCAGGUAUCAGAAAUUUUGAAAUAUUGUUUUUCUCUCAGAGGUACCAGUGUCAUUAAUACAAGCUCUAGAAUAUUCAUAUUUGCUAAAGCACUUAUUAUUUAUUGCUGAUGCAGGUCUUGGGGCAGGUGGAUAUCCACAGGGA
rnacentral:lncRNA from 1 species